rnacentral:miRNA from 1 species
UGUAACAGCAACUCCAUGUGCA